rnacentral:rRNA from 1 species
GGGGAAUAUUGCACAAUGGAGGAAACUCUGAUGCAGCGACGCCGCGUGAGCGAAGAAGGCCUUCGGGUCGUAAAGCUCUGUCCUAUGGGACGAUAAUGACGGUACCAUAGGAGGAAGCCCCGGCUAACUACGUGCCAGCAGCCGCGGUAAUACGUAGGGGGCGAGCGUUGUCCGGAAUGACUGGGCGUAAAGGGUACGUAGGCGGCCAGAUAAGUCAGAUGUGAAAGGCAUGGGCUCAACCCAUGUUAGCAUUUGAAACUGUUUGGCUUGAGUUAAGGAGAGGAAAGUGGAAUUCCUGGUGUAGCGGUGAAAUGCGUAGAUAUCAGGAGGAAUACCAGUGGCGAAGGCGACUUUCUGGACUUAAACUGACGCUGAGGUACGAAAGCGUGGGGAGCAAAC